UCAGAAGUUAUUAUCGAAUCCUUUCAUAUUUUAUCCAUCCGUUUACAUUCAGCAAAAAUAUUCGAGAUAAAUAAGCGAUGGAUAAACUACUAACAAUAAAACCAAAUCGUAUAGAUAAUUAAAUAUACAUCCAAACACUAAAAAAACGUUGCCAUAUACAUACACAUACUACUUUACAUUUUAAAAUUUACCGUCGCAGGAAGAGAAAGGCGAAAUGCUAGAGAAGUAAUGAACUGGAUACAGAUGCGAUCAAUAUAUAAAAUUUUAGAAAGUUAAAAUUUGACUUGUUCUAGCUUAUAUUGAUUAGUUUUGUUAGGG